ACGGGGACUGGCAAGGGGAUCGGCGCGUCCUGCUACGGUGGCCGACGAACGCCUUGGCCUCCAUCUUCGGCCAUGGAUCUCCGACCGUGAUGGUAGGGGAAGAAGGAAGAGGAGGAGUUAAGCAUAGGGCCCUUCUCCAUUCUCAUGCUCAGCAUCAAGAACAACACCCAGGUUGUUUUGGUUGACUUCUUGCCUGUGUCGAUUGAGAUCUCAGCUUAUCAAGGACAUAUUUUAUGUUCUAGUGGUACUUACUGUGUGUCUGCAUAUCGUCUAUUGCCUUUGGUAACUGCUACCAAAUCAUGUAAUAGUGAGUAGAUAUGAUAGUUUCUCUGUACCCAUUUGUACAAUCAAUUGUCCAUCAUUGCUCUCUUAGUAAUGCCAAGUUAAAUGCUUCAACGUGUAAUUUAUGAGCAGACUAACUAUCAUGUUAUCAUUUAUCAGAGAUUUUAUAUUGCUUGAUCUCAGUUCUGCUUAAGGCUGGGCGUUCAGUUCCCCGAGAUGUUCGGGUCGGUGCUUGUGUUGUAACUUAUAAGAUUCAUUUGGUCUUGUUUGAGUAUCUACAACAGUUAUGCAUAAUAAUAGAUUAGCAGUGAAUGCAAACCACUUCUAACAUUGAGAAUUUGUCCUUUUGUUUUCCACACAAGCAUAGCUGAUGGUGUUUUCACAUGGAAAUUUUUCGAGUCCUUUUACGUACCAUGUUGUUUCCUUCAUGUUAUAGUGGCAAAGGGAGAAGCUGGUCACCAUGAUUCAAAGUCGCCGUGGAGCUGAAAAAUGGCGAUGAAUCCUGGAGUACAGCGUGAUAGAUGCGGAGUUGGCUGGUAGUGUGCAGGGCGGCUAGUGAUGCCAAGUUAAAUGGCGAUGAACAUCUGGAAACUUGUUGUGUGCAGGGCGGCUAGUGAUGUGGCACACCAAGCAACAACACGCACACCAAGCAGCAGCAGGGGGAUGGGGUCUCUUGAAUGUCGGCGUUGCCACUCAUUACUUCUUUCACUGGUUGAUGAUGGAUGGUUGCUGUUAGUUUAGCUCCUUGGUAGUCACUCCCUCUUUUGCAAGCGUCCCAUGUAGUUGCUUCAUUUCUACUGUUGGUAGAAAUGGUAGCUCUAGUCCCAUGUAGUUGUAGUCCCAUGUAGUUCCUAUGCUCGGACGACCCUUUGUUGCUUCAUUUCUGUUAAUUCAGUCUUUGUCGAAUGUAUCUACUAUCUAGUGUCGUUGUUGUUUAAGGAAUCCUUUUGUGUUGAAAGAAAUAAAAUGGUAUGGAUACAUGCAUACAUGCUUAUUUAAA